UUGAUUCUUUUCGAAAUUCAGACACAAAACACAGACAGCAUAAAUGCGGCAGGUCAAAGGUGACUCUGCCGAAGCACAUCUCGCUUCCACGGGUUUGAAGGGUCUAGGGUCUUGCGACCUUUCGUUAAUGAUCCCUCCGCAGGUUCACCUACGGAGA
rnacentral:misc_RNA from 1 species